GACGAACGCUGGCGGCGUGCUUAACACAUGCAAGUCGAGCGGAAAGGCCCUUUCGGGGGUACUCGAGCGGCGAACGGGUGAGUAACACGUGAGUAAUCUGCCCUUGGCUUUGGGAUAACUACCGGAAACGGUGGCUAAUACCGGAUAUGACCAUGCUCGGCAUCGGGUGUGGUGGAAAAGUUUUUUCGGCCAGGGAUGUGCUCGCGGCCUAUCAGCUUGUUGGUGGGGUAAUGGCCUACCAAGGCUUCGACGGGUAGCCGGCCUGAGAGGGUGACCGGCCACACUGGGACUGAGACACGGCCCAGACUCCUACGGGAGGCAGCAGUGGGGAAUAUUGGACAAUGGGCGAAGCCUGAUCCAGCAACGCCGCGUGAGGGAUGACGGCC
rnacentral:rRNA from 1 species